UACGUAGGGGGCUAGCGUUGUCCGGAAUCAUUGGGCGUAAAGAGCGUGUAGGCGGUCCGGUAAGUCCGUUGUGAAAGACAGGGGCUCAACCCUUGAAUGCCGGCGGAUACUGUCGGGCUAGAGUCCGGAAGAGGCGAGUGGAAUUCCCGGUGUAGCGGUGAAAUGCGCAGAUAUCGGGAGGAACACCAGUGGCGAAGGCGGCUCACUGGCCCGAUACUGACGCUGAGGUGCGAAAGCGUGGGGAGCAAACAGG
rnacentral:rRNA from 1 species